rnacentral:tRNA from 1 species
GGAGAUAUAGCUCAGCAGUAGAGUGAGUACCUACUCAGCAAGUGUGAAGAAGCCCUGAGUUCAAAUCUCAGUGCUGCCA